ACAUGCCUACAACAUAGCGUUAAUGCAUCGGAUCCCAUUAGAACUCCGCAGUUAAGCACACUCAGGCUAGAGUAGUAUUGGGAUGGGUGACCACCUGGGAAGUCUUAGUGUUUUACAUGCC
rnacentral:rRNA from 1 species